rnacentral:rRNA from 1 species
AUACGUAGGGGGCGAGCGUUGUCCGGAAUGAUUGGGCGUAAAGGGCGCGUAGGCGGCGCGGUAAGUCUGGAGUGAAAGUCCUGCUUUCAAGGUGGGAAUUGCUUUGGAUACUGCCGCGCUUGAGUGCAGGAGAGGUUAUCGGAAUUCCCGGUGUAGCGGUGAAAUGCGUAGAGAUCGGGAGGAACACCAGUGGCGAAGGCGAGUAACUGGACUGCAACUGACGCUGAGGCGCGAAAGUGUGGGGAGCAAACAGGAUUAGAUACCCUGGUAGUCCACGCUGUAAACGAUGAAUACUAGGUGUCGGGGAGCGACAAGCUGUUCGGUGCCGCAGCAAACGCAAUAAGUAUUCCACCUGGGGAGUACGUUCGCAAGAAUGAAACUCAAAGGAAUUGACGGGG